GGUAUCUUGUCCUCCCAAACAAGUCCAUUCACAUUAAAAGAAACAAAUUGGGAAGAGACGAAAAGAAGCAUUGAUGUUUUUUUUCUAAACAUAGUAGUUAAAUCAGAUUUAAAUUGAUUUAAGGUUUCAUUUCUAACAACCGGAAACAAAUGGUUUCUGGCAGGACGAGAAUUCAUUCUGAUUUGCGGCGUUUGGAUCAGGAUGUUAUCUUCUUCAUCAUCAUCAGAAAUUAAGACGUCCUUCGGGUCCUCCUGAUGAACCAGAAUUUGAAUUUCAUUUUAUCUUCCUUAACAAUGAUGAUGCUAUUACCGGUGGCGGAGGAGUCCCCCUAAAAACCCGUGGAAGUUCCUCCGCGAAAUUCGGAAGGUCCUAUUGUUGAAAGUAGCUUAAGAAUAGAACAUUCUUGGAAUGGUCUAUUAUGUUGCACUAGGAUAACAUCUCAGAGGCCAAGGAGCCGCGUAUCGUAAUCCGCCACAUUUACAUUUACAAUCCAACCACAAAACGAUACAAAGCUCUUCCUCGAUCCCCCUUUAGAGAUGUCGUCAAAUAUUAUUGGAAUGCAGUUAAAAGUGUAUCUUUAGCUUUUGAUCCAAUCAAGUCUCCAGAUCACUAUCAGGUUAUCUGCAUCUGGAUAGAUAUAGGGAAAUUUUAUGAACAUGAUGUUUAUUAUAUCGAAAUAUACUCCUCUAAAACAAACUCAUGGAGGUUAUCUGCGGAGAGUCCUUUUUCAGCACGUCGUCUCAGUUCCUCUAGGGCGCCAGGUGCGUUAUGGAACUGUUUCCUUGGGCCAGGUGUGUUUUGGAAUGGUUGUUUGCAUUGGAUCUCGCAAUUCUCGAUCAUGGAAGAUGAAGCGUCACUGUAUUUUGAUAUCGAACAAGAUUUAGUAAAGCCGCUGCCGUUGCCAGCUGUAUGUAAUGAUAAUAUGUGGUAUAUUAAAUAUUUUGGAGAGUGUAGAAAUCAUUUGUAUCUUGUAGGGGCUCUUGGAUCAUGUCCUGAUAAUUACAGCAUCUUCGAAAUGGAGAAAGAUUACAGUGGGUGGAAUCUUAUAUACAAGGUCGACCUAGAAAGAAUUAUAAAUGCAUACCACCUAGAGUCGGUGACGAAUUAUAACAAUACCAUCGAUUAUUGUGUGUGGGUAAUGUUUCUUGGGGAAUCCGAAGAGAAAUCAUCAACAAAAUUGAUGUUGUUGAUAAAUGCUACUCAACUUAUAUCCUAUGAUCUGAAAGAGAUGAGCUAUAGGGAGAUCUAUUAUUUCGAUCCAAAAACUCUCACCAUGACUGCAAACUCAAACUCACGGGGUUAUGUUCAUCAAUACAUAGAGUCGCUUGCCUGUAUUUGAAUAUUUUCAUGGCCUCUCUCACUUGUUACACUUAACUAAAGUUAAUCUUCAACUUAAUAAUGUCAUGUUCAGCCCUUGUUUUGUGUCAUGCAAUCAGUUCUGAAAAUAUAUCCAUUUAUGUUGUUUACUAUCCUUA